AGAGACAACAAAUGGCCCAGCUGAUACUUGCUGCUGAAUUUCUUCAGGUUAAACUCAGCUACCAGAUGGUGCUGGAAUCAAGAUCAAAAUGAAAAAAGCACAUUUGCAAGGGGCACUCCAUUGCAACCCUGGCAGUGCUGAGGGUUAUGAAGAUCCCUGUGUUGGCACAAGGUGACCUCCCAAACAGGCCACGUGCUGCUGUGCAGCCUUGCAGAUCUCCAUGUGAACUCCAAGGACACUCAGGAUCCUCCUGCUUGAAGAAUGAUGUUACUACUAAACUGCAAACAUUUCAAGACAAAGACACACCAAAUUCUACCAUAACCUUAAUCUGGGUUGGAAACCAUGCAACACUGAAGACCUGACUAUGUCUGAUGAGAAUCAGCAGGGGAGUGUAAGGGAAGCAUUCGACUUUAGUGCUGAGAAACAGCUCCAGUCCCUAAAACAAAGUGAAAGAAGAGUGGUUACAUAAACCCACAAGAAACCUGUAUGCACUUCUGUGUUUGACUAAACACUAAAAGAGCAGAGGUAUACUUACUGCUUGCUGUAAAAUUCACCUAAACCUGAAGAUUAAACCUGUAUUAAAACCCACAUUAAAAAGCUUAGAAUUUUGUGUACAUAUAUAAGAUAUGCAAUAUUCUGAUUUAGCGUUACUCUUUUGAAAUAUAAUAAUAAAACAUUGACCUAUGAAAGACUGUAAUACA
rnacentral:lncRNA from 1 species